rnacentral:rRNA from 1 species
AGUGAACGCUGGCGGUAGGCCUAACACAUGCAAGUCGAACGGCAGCACAGUAAGAGCUUGCUCUUACGGGUGGCGAGUGGCGGACGGGUGAGGGAUGCAUCGGAAUCUACUUUUUCGUGGGGGAUAACGUAGGGAAACUUACGCUAAUACCGCAUACGACCUACGGGUGAAAGCAGGGGAUCUUCGGACCUUGCGCGAUUGAAUGAGCCGAUGUCGGAUUAGCUAGUUGGCGGGGUAAAGGCCCACCAAGGCGACGAUCCGUAGCUGGUCUGAGAGGAUGAUCGCCCCAACUGGAACUGGGACCCGGCCCAAACCCCAAGGGGGGGCAGCAGGGGGAAAUUUUGGAAAAGGGGCGAAAGCCGAACCCGCCCAACCCGGGGGGGGGAAGAAGGCCUUGGGGUUUUAAAGCCUUUUUUUUGGGAAAAAAAAGCAGCAGGUUAAAACCCCGCUUUUUGGCCGGUACCAAAAAAAAAAGCCCCGCCAAACUUCUG